CUGCCCCUGACUCUGGGAUAAGCGCUGGAAACGGCGUCUAAUACUGGAUAUGUGACGUGACCGCAUGGUCUGCGUUUGGAAAGAUUUUUCGGUUGGGGAUGGGCUCGCGGCCUAUCAGCUUGUUGGUGAGGUAAUGGCUCACCAAGGCGUCGACGGGUAGCCGGCCUGAGAGGGUGACCGGCCACACUGGGACUGAGACACGGCCCAGACUCCUACGGGAGGCAGCAGUGGGGAAUAUUGCACAAUGGGCGAAAGCCUGAUGCAGCAACGCCGCGUGAGGGAUGACGGCCUUCGGGUUGUAAACCUCUUUUAGCAGGGAAGAAGCGAAAGUGACGGUACCUGCAGAAAAAGCGCCGGCUAACUACGUGCCAGCAGCCGCGGUAAUACGUAGGGCGCAAGCGUUAUCCGGAAUUAUUGGGCGUAAAGAGCUCGUAGGCGGUUUGUCGCGUCUGCUGUGAAAUCCCGAGGCUCAACCUCGGGCCUGCAGUGGGUACGGGCAGACUAGAGUGCGGUAGGGGAGAUUGGAAUUCCUGGUGUAGCGGUGGAAUGCGCAGAUAUCAGGAGGAACACCGAUGGCGAAGGCAGAUCUCUGGGCCGUAACUGACGCUGAG
rnacentral:rRNA from 1 species